CUUUACCUACGGGGCGCAGCAGUGGGGGAUAUUGGACAAUGGGGGAAACCCUGAUCCAGCGAUGCCGCGUGAGGGAAGAAGGUUUUCGGAUUGUAAACCUCUGUGGAGGGGGACGAUAAUGACGGUACCCCUUUAGGAAGCCACGGCUAACUACGUGCCAGCAGCCGCGGUAAUACGUAGGUGGCGAGCGUUGUCCGGAAUUACUGGGUGUAAAGGGAGCGUAGGCGGCGAUGCAAGUCAGAAGUGAAAGCCCGGGGCUCAACUCCGGGACUGCUUUUGAAACUGUAUGGCUAGAUUGCAG
rnacentral:rRNA from 1 species